GUUGAAACACCGGUUCCCAUACAAUCACUGAAGUUAAGCAACAUCAAGCUUGGUCAGUACCUAGGUCAGUGAUUGCUUAGGAAUAUCAGGUGCUGUGAG